rnacentral:tRNA from 1 species
GCCUGGGUGGCUCAGUCGGUUGAGCGUCCGACUUCAGCUCAGGUCAUGAUCUCACAGUUCGUGGGUUCGAGCCCCGCGUCGGGCU